GUGCCAGCAGCCGCGGUAAUUCCAGCUCCAAUAGCGUAUAUUAAAGUUGUUGUGGUUAAAAAGCUCGUAGUUGAACCUUGGGCCUGGCUGGCCGGUCCGCCUCACCGCGUGCACUGGUCCGGCCGGGCCUUUCCCUCUGUGGAACCCCAUACCCUUCACUGGGCGUGGCGGGGAAACAGGACAUUUACUUUGAAAAAAUUAGAGUGCUCCAGGCAGGCCUAUGCUCGAAUACAUUAGCAUGGAAUAAUAAAAUAGGACGCGCGGUUCUAUUUUGUUGGUUUAUAGGACCGCCGUAAUGAUUAAUAGGGACAGUCGGGGGCAUCAGUAUUCAACUGUCAGAGGUGAAAUUCUUGGAUCAGUUGAAGACUAACUACUGCGAAAGCAUAUGCCAAGGAUGUUUUCAUUAAUCAGGAACGAAAGUUAGGGGAUCGAAGACGAUCAGAUACCGUCGUAGUCUUAACCAUAAACUAUGCCGACUAGGGAUCGGACGGUGUUAUUCAUGACCCGUUCGGCACCUUACGAGAAAUCAAAGUGCUUGGGCUCCAGGGGGAGUAUGGUCGCAAGGCUGAAACUUAAAGAAAUUGACGGAAGGGCACCACCAGGGGUGGAGCCUGCGGCUUAAUUUGACUCAACACGGGGAAACUCACCAGGUCCAGACACAAUAAGGAUUGACAGAUUGAGAGCUCUUUCUUGAUUUUGUGGGUGGUGUGCAUGGCCGUUCUUAGUUGGUGGGGUGACUUGUCUGCUUAAUUGCGAUAACGAACGAGACCUU
rnacentral:rRNA from 1 species